rnacentral:rRNA from 1 species
CAGCAGCCGCGGUAAUACGAAGGGGGCUAGCGUUGCUCGGAAUUACUGGGCGUAAAGGGAGCGUAGGCGGAUCGUUUAGUCAGGGGUGAAAUCCCGGGGCUCAACCUCGGAACUGCCUUUGAUACUGGCGAUCUUGAGUAUGGGAGAGGUGUGUGGAACUCCGAGUGUAGAGGUGAAAUUCGUAGAUAUUCGGAAGAACACCAGUGGCGAAGGCGACACACUGGCCCAUUACUGACGCUGAGGCUCGAAAGCGUGGGGAGCAAACAGGAUUAGAUACCCCCGUAGUCCCUGUCUCUUAUAA